GUUGACACAGGGCCUGGAAAAAAACCAGCGCCAAUUUGUAGAAUAAUUGCCGUCACUUACUGAGAACUGCCCAGGUGUCUGGCACUGUGCUAAAGGCAGCAUAAGUACCUGAGGAGACAAGGACCAUCUCCCUCUAGGAAACAGCCUCAGAAAUCUGAACAGAUGGUGUCUUGGGCAAGGGAGAAAGCCAGGGUCCAAGUCACACUGUCUGAACCCGGUGCCACCCAGCUCCUCUCUGGCAGAGCACCAAGCUCCCCCUACCCUAAGAGCUGGGAAGUCCAGUUACCCCACCACCCAGUGGCAGCCUCUGUCCUCCAGGUUGUGACAUAACAAUUGCACAAUCCACAAGAUAUUUUUGAAAGAAACUGUCAGUUUCCUCUCCUGGGCACUGUGGCCCCCAUGCCAUCCAGUGUCUUCAGCAGACUUGGGACUUUGGAAGCUAAAUAUAGUCAGGACUCGGGAUGAUAAGGAAAUGAAAACGUCAAGACUGUAAAGUGACCCAGUUUUAUUUUGGUUUUGGAGGCUAGAUAGGGCACUGCUCCACAGGUUCAGGCUGUACAAACUCCCCCUCCUUGAGGUGGGAGGCCCAGCAACCGCAGGGCCCAGGCAGCAGGGUGGGAGCUCAGGAGAUGGUGGCUCUGGGAACCUGAUCCCCAGAAGAGAGGGUACAGCAGGCAGAGGCCUGCAAUGGCUCAGAUUGAGGGGAAACGGAGGCGAGGGGUAGAGGACACGAUCCAAGAACCGGAGUCCGAAAGCUGAAGCUGGUCCAGUCUCCUUCACUUUACGGCCGAGGCUGGGGUCAGGACCUAGAACAUGGCAGACAGUAAAUGCAAGUCACCUUCAGGCCACCCUGGACCAUCCAACUCUGGCUAAGCCAUAAGCUGACUACAAUUACGUGAAUGAGCCCAGGAUAUAUGAGCAGAAGAAUCACCCAACUGAGCCCAGCCAACCUGCAGAAUAUAGUAUCAUGAGCUAAUAAACAAUUCUUGCUUUAAGCCCUAA